GAAUUAAUAAGUAGCCUUUUGCUUCCAGACACUUUGGGUCCAGUUUUUUGCUCUUCCUUGACUGUUUGCAUUUUCAAGUUUGCUUUUAGCAAGUUUUAAAAUGUCUGAUCAAAGGAUUCAGGACACCCAAAGACAAGUCGAUGAAGUUGUCGAUAUAAUGAGACAGAAUGUUAGCCAGGUAAUUGAAAGAGAUGAAAAACUUACAAAUAUAGAUGACAAAAGUGAAGCUUUAGUUUCUGGCGCUAAUAGAUUCCAGAAAACUUCGACCCAAGUGAAGCGUAGACUUUGGUGGAAAAAUGUUUGGUGGACCAUGGCUAUUGUAGGUGUAAUACUAUUAAUAGUAUUAAUUAUUCUUUUGAUUGCUCAACCCUGGAAGAAAAAAUAGAACAGAUUUUAUGUCUUUUAUCUUUUUUGUCCCUGAUAAUUUAAGUUCGUAUGAUUAAAUAAACUUUUCUGAGUGAG